rnacentral:rRNA from 1 species
GUCUACAGCCAUGCCACCCUGAACAAGCCCAAUCCCUUCUGAUCUCGGAAGCUAAGCAGGAUUGGUCUGCUUAGUACUUGGAUGGAGACCACUUAGGAAGACUGGGUACUGUAGGUG